ACGCCCACCACUUUCUUUCCCACAACGAAGCACCCAGUAGCCAGCAGCGUGGUUAUUGGAUCCAUCUGCAUCUCCGCUUUUCGGCGAAAUGAAGUCAAGCGUAAACAAGAGUGUCCGGCAACACGUGCAAGGAAUUCCCUCCUGUCAAUCACGAUUAACGCGUCAGAUCACACUGGAUAAGUUCUUCACACGUUGACUGGAAUUUAUUCACCUCACUUGCAUGUCUUUGGACUGUGGGAAGAAACUGGAGCUCCCGGAGGAAACCCACGCAGACACAAGGAGAACAUGUGAGAACUCCAAACAGAAAGGACCCGGAACGCCCCACCUGGGGAUCAAACCCAGGACUUUCCUGCUGUGAGGCGACAGUGCUACCCACUAACCCACCAUGCCGUCUGUUAACCUGACUGCAUGUCUUUGGACUGUCAGAGGGAGCCAGAGCAUCAGGAGAAGCCCACAUGGACACUGGGAGAACAUGCAACUCCACAUAGAAAGGACCACUCCAUCUGGGUACUGAACCUAGGACCUUCUUGCUGUGAGGAGACAGUGCUACCCACCGAGCCACCAUGCUGCCCUAA